rnacentral:rRNA from 1 species
GACGAACGCUGGCGGCGUGCUUAACACAUGCAAGUCGAACGAAGAGCGACGGAAGCUUGCUUCUAUCAAUCUUAGUGGCGAACGGGUGAGUAACGCGUAAUCAACCUGCCCUUCAGAGGGGGACAACAGUUGGAAACGACUGCUAAUACCGCAUACGAUCUAAUCUCGGCAUCGAGGAUGGAUGAAAGGUGGCCUCUACAUGUAAGCUAUCACUGAAGGAGGGGAUUGCGUCUGAUUAGCUAGUUGGAGGGGUAACGGCCCACCAAGGCGAUGAUCAGUAGCCGGUCUGAGAGGAUGAACGGCCACAUUGGGACUGAGACACGGCCCAGACUCCUACGGGAGGCAGCAGUGGGGAAUCUUCCGCAAUGGACGAAAGUCUGACGGAGCAACGCCGCGUGAGUGAUGACGGCCUUCGGGUUGUAAAGCUCUGUUAAUCGGGACGAAAGACCUUCUUGCGAAUAGUGAGAAGGAUUGACGGUACCGGAAUAGAAAGCCACGGCUAACUACGU